AGCGGCAAAAGCUCAAAUUUGAAAUCUGGCACUUUCAGUGUCCGAGUUGUAAUUUGAAGAAGGUAUCUUUGGGUCUGGCUCUUGUCUAUGUUUCUUGGAACAGAACGUCACAGAGGGUGAGAAUCCCGUGCGAUGAGAUGUCCCAGACCUAUGUAAAGUUCCUUCGAAGAGUCGAGUUGUUUGGGAAUGCAGCUCUAAGUGGGUGGUAAAUUCCAUCUAAAGCUAAAUAUUGGCGAGAGACCGAUAGCGAACAAGUACAGUGAUGGAAAGAUGAAAAGAACUUUGAAAAGAGAGUGAAAAAGUACGUGAAAUUGUUGAAAGGGAAGGGCUUGAGAUCAGACUUGGUAUUUUGUAUGUUACUCUCUCGGGGGUGGCCUCUACAGUUUACCGGGCCAGCAUCAGUUUGAGCGGUAGGAUAAGUGCAAAGAAAUGUGGCACUGCUUCGGUAGUGUGUUAUAGUCUUUGUCGAUACUGCCAGCUUAGACUGAGGACUGCGGCUUCGGCCUAGGAUGUUGGCAUAAUGAUCUUAAGUCGCCCGUCUUG
rnacentral:rRNA from 1 species